rnacentral:rRNA from 1 species
GACGAACGCUGGCGGCGUGCUUAACACAUGCAAGUCGAACGGCAAGGCACUGCUUUUGUGGGGUGAUCGAGUGGCGAACGGGUGAGUAACACGUGAGUAACCUGCCCUUGACUUUGGGAUAACUUCAGGAAACUGGGGCUAAUACCGGAUAGGAGCUCCUGCUGGAUGGUGGGGGUUGGAAAGUUUCGGCGGGUGGGGAUGGACUCGCGGCUUAUCAGCUUGUUGGUGGGGGAGUGGCUUACCAAGGCUUUGGCGGGUAGCCGGCCUGAGAGGGUGACCGGCCACAUUGGGACUGAGAUACGGCCCAGACUCCUACGGGAGGCAGCAGGGGGGAAUAUUGCACAAUGGGCGGAAGCCUGAUGCAGCAACGCCGCGUGCGGGAUGACGGCCUUCGGGUUGUAAACCGCUUUCGCCUGUGACGAAGCGUGAGUGACGGUAAUGGGUAAAGAAGCACCGGCUAACUACGUG